rnacentral:rRNA from 1 species
UGAAUACGAGACGCUAAGGCGUCGAAGUAGUGUAUGUCAUACUUCCAAGAAAAGCUUGCACUGUCAUAGAUAAAAACGCCUGUACCAUAACCGACACAGGUGGGUAGGUAGAGUAUACUAAGGGGCGCGAGAUAACUCUCUCUAAGGAACUCGGCAAAAUAACUCCGUAACUUCGGGAGAAGGAGUGCCUUAUUCUUAAGGUUGCAAUAACAAGAUCCAAGCAACUGUUUAUCAAAAACACAGGUCUCCGCUAAGUCGUAAGACGAUGUAUGGGGGCUGACGCCUGCCCAGUGCCAGAAGGUUAAAGAAGCUGGUUAGCAAUUGCGAAGCUGGUGACUGAAGCCCUGGUGAACGGCGGCCGUAACUAUAACGGUCCUAAGGUAGCGAAAUUCCUUGUCGGGUAAGUUCCGACCCGCACGAAAGGCGUAAUGAUUUGGAUACUGUCUCGGAGAGGGGCUCGGUGAAAUAGACUUGUCUGUGAAGAUGCGGACUACCUGCACCAGGACAGAAAGACCCUAUGAAGCUUUACUGUAACUUGAAAUUGAAAUUGGACUUUAUUCGCGCAGCAUAGGUGGGAGGCGUUGAUUAUAAUCUUGCGGGAUUAUUGGAGCUAUUAGUGAGAUACCACUCUUGUAAUGUUAGAUUUCUAACUUUGAAUCAUUAUCUGGUCAAAGGACAGUUUCAGGCGGGCAGUUUGACUGGGGCGGUCGCCUCCCAAACGGUAACGGAGGCGUACAAAGGUUUCCUCUGAACGGUUAGAAAUCGUAUCUAGAGUGUAAAGGCAUAAGGAAGCUUGACUGUGAGACCUACAAGUCGAGCAGGGACGAAAGUCGGUCUUAGUGAUCUGACGGUACUGAGUGGAAAGGCCGUCACUCAACGGAUAAAAGUUACUCUAGGAUAACAGGCUGAUCUCCCCCAAGAGUUCACAUCGACGGGGAGGUUUGGCACCUCGAUGUCGGCUCAUCGCAUCCUGGGGCGGUAGUACGUCCCAAGGGUUGGGCUGUUCGCCCAUGAAAGCGGUACGCGAGCUGGGUUCAGAACGUCGUGAGACAGUUCGGUCCAUAUCCGGUGUAGGCGUUAGAAUAUUGAGAGGAGCCUUCUUUAGUACGAGAGGACCGAGAAGGACAUACCUCUGGUGUACCAGUUAUCGUGCCAACGGUAAACGCUGGGUAGCUAUGUAUGGAGUGGAUAACCGCUGAAAGCAUCUAAGUGGGAAGCCCACCUCAAGAUAAG